AAGCCUCGUCUUCGGUGGUCAAGUCAGGUUUCAGGAUUCUUGAGAAGUUCUUGAGUACCGCGCGGGAUCGGACUCGAAGGUAAUCCUAGCAACAUUAACUCUUUUGACAGUAUGUGAAGAUUGACAUUAUUAAACGCACCGAUGAUAUCG